GUCCUUUUUCAAGUGGUGGCCUUGGCGUAUGGGUCCGUGGUUGUUCUCCGGGGCAUCGGCUGAGUAUGUUCUUUGUGGGCGCGUUGUGCCUGCUGGUCGUGUCGUCGGAGCCAGUGAUUCCGUGGGAAGGCCAAGUAGAGUCAGCGUCCCAGUGGCCUCUUGCAUGUUGUGGAGAGUAUGUUUGUUACCUCCAGCUUCAAUGGUGAGGGUGCGACCUGGUCCCCAGCGGUACCGAAUUUGAU